GUACUUCCUUCGACAGUACAUAUACUAAAAUUGCAACGAUACAGAGGAGAUUAGCCUGGCUCCUGCGCAAGGAUAAAGUGCAUAAUCAUAAACCGAUCCUCAUUAUU
rnacentral:snRNA from 1 species